AUUAGGACGAAAACCUGAUUGAUUAUCAGAAAAUAUAUUUUCCUUCGCUUUUCUAAAAUUUUUGAAACAACAGGAAGCACAGAAAAAGGCCUAUAAUUACUUCUGUCUUUUCUAUCACCAGUUUUAAAAACUGGCGACACCUUGGCCACUUGGGAAUGUGCCAGUCUUUAAAGAUACAUUGCAAAUGGUCGCUAGUGCAUGAUUCUGAAAUAAUCGGAG